rnacentral:tRNA from 1 species
CUCGUCGUAGCUCAGUGGUAGAGCGCCCGGCUCUGGACCGGGUGGACGCUGGUUCGAGCCCAGCCGACGGGGCCC